GGAGAGAUGGCAGAGCGGUUGAUAGCGGCGGUCUUGAAAACCGUUGAGGAUUUGCGUCCUCCGGGAGUUCGAAUCUCUCUCUCUCCGCCA
rnacentral:tRNA from 2 species